rnacentral:tRNA from 1 species
GGGUCCGUAGUCUAGUGGUUUAUGACGUCGCCCUUACAAGGCGGAGGUCCCCGGUUCGAUCCCGGGCGGACCCA